rnacentral:rRNA from 1 species
GUGUCAGCCGCCGCGGUAAUACAGAGGGGGCAAGCGUUAUUCGGAAUUAUUGGGCGUAAAGGGCGCGUAGGCGGUGUCUUAAGUGAGAUGUGUAAUCCCCGAGCUUAACUUGGGAACUGCAUCUCAGACUGGGGCGCUAGAGUACUGGAGAGGGUGGUAGAAUUCCACGUGUAGCGGUGAAAUGCGUAGAGAUGUGGAGGAAUACCAGUGGCGAAGGCGGCCACCUGGACAGUAACUGACGCUGAGGCGCGAAAGUGUGGGGAGCAAACAGGAUUAGAAACCCGUGUAGUCC